GCUAUUCUAGUCGCGCGCACACGUUGGUCACAUUGGGAAUUCCACGCCAUCUCAUUUCCCAGGUAUAUUAGAGGUAACAUGAUUGUUUGAGGGGUAGAAUUAGAAGAACACCGACUUGUGGAGUCAAAUAAGCCAAGCUGAGCACUAACAGUAGACAACCUAGCCGUCUUGAUCAGCAUAAAGGAUUAACACAUUUAGAAAAGGAUUCCCUUUUAUCUAUAGGAUAUAAUAUACGUUUAAAUAUAUAUAGACAGAGAGACUGAGUAGUACUUAAAGAGCGGCAUGAUGCUAGCAAAACUUUUAACGGGAGUAUUACUAUCGUGUCUUGCAACGCUGAUAUUGGGGAUCCCAGUAACAGAUGAAGACAGCGAAUACCGAUACCAACAAAGAAUGUCACCCUAUAGGCUUCUCCAAGUGAUCGCCGACAGACUCAAUUAUUUAGAAAAACUGGGCCAACGCCAUUGGCCACGGUUAGAAAAACCAGAAGGUUUAUACAACAGCUUUUCGAAAAGAGGCGCUUGCAUUUCUAAUUGUGUAGGCUCAGCUGGUUUAACCCACGCUCAGUGCCGUGAUUUGUGUUAGAAGGUAUCAACCAAACUCCUACUCCGCCCAAGUAUUGAGAAAAACCUAUGCACAGCAAGUUCAGCCACGUCGUAGUGCGGCAACGCUAGCAACCAAAGUUAUCACGACCUUGCUUCAUUUCCUGACCAACAAUUUCAAACACUGCAAAUACAUAUCAAUAUCCGGUAAAGACAUGGGCACAAAGUUGGAUAUUUUAACGCUCGGUUAAGACCACUUUUGUUCUGGAAAGACCUAUCACUGGGUAAAAUGACCAGAUGGCUUAAAUGUUCUUGCGCCUGCACAAACAAUUCGAGUUUUAGAUUCAACAACUUGAGUAAAUUAUUUAUAUACAGCUGAGAUGUAUACUUUCUGUGGAGGUGUUGAUUGUAUCCAAAGAUUAAAGAUAUUUUGGGCAGAUUUCAUCUGUAUUUAUUGAUUUUAUUAUUCCAUAUGAAGUACAAAGCUUGAUCCGAGAAUCGUGAGACUUGGGAAUAAAAGACAAGUGUCGUCGGCAAAGUACAUUGUAGGAAACUCACUGCGCACGAUGCCAUUUGAGCGUGACUUCCAUGCACUGGUAAUGUUAACCACACGCAAUUGGCAACAUGUACAGUAGGUAGAAUU